rnacentral:sRNA from 1 species
GGGCAGUUUUCUCGGACACAAUCUGUUAAAUCUAGCCCAUUGGCAUUGAUUGCCAAAUAUUUUUUUUGGUUCUUGCGCUAGGUCAGUUUACUUACUACAAGUAAUGGGUAGUAUGUACGCCGGCUGUUUCCUCAUGUUGAAGGAG